rnacentral:misc_RNA from 1 species
AAAGUCGUAACAAGGUUUCCGUAGGUGAACCUGCGGAAGGAUCAUUACAAGAUUAGAGGCUCCGGCUUCAAAUCCUGCCCUCUUGUCAUUGUCAAGAAGUCGUGGUCUCCCGUGAGAACGGGGGGUCUUGUACUUUUCACAUUACUUCGGUCGAGUGUGUUCGGUUUAUGAGAGGUUGUGGGCAUGCCUACAUCCGAUCAGGGACUGGACCGCGACCGGCAGGGGUUCGUCCCUAACCAUUACUCUUUGAGAACUUUUGAAGUCUGAGAAAAUUAUAAAUAAAAGCAAAACUUUCAACAACGGAUCUCUUGGCUCUG